GUUCAGGGUUUUCCGAAAUAUCUGCUGAUUUAUCGGAGGCAGCAAUAGCUCACUGCCAAUUAAUUGUCGUUUACAAGUAAGUUGCUCACAUCCAUAUUGUCACACAUUUCUUCUCUUCAUACAUGGUGCUGGAGGACCACACUAUCACUACAACAAAAGCAGGUAGAGCUGACGCUUUGGGGGGCUAGUUUUCCGGCGCUAACUAAAAUCAGGCGCCGGAUAACGAUCCCAUAUAAAUACCCUUCUAAAAAGCCCUAACCCUCAUUUUCUUAACCAUGUAAUGUCUAUAAAUCAAUCUAUACAGCUGUAUUCCUGAUCAUGUUAUGUUUUCUCAGGUUCUUCUAGUGGUUCUGCUGCUGUGGUCUCUGCAGGGCAGUCCUGUUGCUCUUGGUGUUGACGGAGGAGCUUUUGGAAGUCCUCAAGUGGAGAUAUGACCAAUCUAUAAUAUCGUGGAGUUUUGUGUGAAUCUAUUACUAAUGAGCAUGUAACUGUCUAUUUAUAGUUGCAUGGCUUCUCUAUAUAAUGUGCUUUUCCCAUUUUGGAAUUUUGUGAUUUCUAGAUGUUUCGGGUCUUAAAACUCCUUAUUUUCUGCUCUUUGUUUAGGCUUUUGCUCUCACACUUGCUCCUGCACAAUGCAAAUGUGCAUGCAUGGGAAAGGGCAUAUGGAUGGGCACACAUGUGAGCACGUCUGUGAUAUAAAUGGUGCCGACUUUAGGAGGAAAGGCACUCGACCUGCAUCGCCUUUUUGUGGAAGUGACAUCUCAUGGUUGUCUUGAAAAGAUGUCAAUACCUUGAUAUACGCCGGUGGCCAAUGCUCUCCAACCUUUUGUUGCAGCAUAGUGUGGUCAAGCUCAUCCGACGGUAUCUAGAGGAUGUGCAUGAUUUUGUGGAGAUUGAGACUACAAUCCUAUCUAGAUCUACACCUGAAGGUGCUCGAGAUUACCUUGUACCUUCACGAGUUCAGGAUUUUAAUCAAUUGUGCCUAAAUUUAGGCCUACAAACUAGCACUUCAGCCUUUUGACGCCACUCGUGCUGGGAGUACCAUAUAGAGGAUUUUAUUUUUUUAAAAAUAAUAAUAUUUAAGACCAUUUUCAAUUUAUU